UGGAGAAACAUCAUUGAGUGCAGCGUUGAUGAAAUCUUAUGUAGCAUCUAGCUAUCUUAUAGAUAUCAAAUAUUGCAUGCUUAAUUUCAUCUACGCUACACUCAAUUAUGUUUUUU
rfam:Medicago truncatula strain A17 chromosome 2, whole genome shotgun sequence.